GCAGUUCACAGUGGGAAUUUCAACCACUGAGGAGUACUUCACUUAUCCUUUUCCCACACUGGGGAGUCUCUCCAAGCUCAUAGCUGAUCCCCGCCAAGCAGGCUGCUUCACUUCCCUCUCCUUUUUCGCUUUAGGUGUUUCCUGUCACAUCCCUAUUGAAUUCCAGUGUUAUCCAAUGAUCUAUUGAAAAUGUGAUUACCUACUCGCUAAUUAGUCUCCUUUUUACAGAAGAGCACGUGGAAAGCAAGACCCCUGAGGGCGCAGGUUUUAGUCAACUUUCAUUCAGUGCCGCUUCUACAGAGUUGAACACUUUCCGGUACAUUAAAUGCUCUCGACAGAAUACCGACUUACUGUGAAAACUUUUAUCUGCAAAUCCAGUUUUGCACUUCGAAUAUGGAAAAACUGAACUUACAUAAUUUGAAGGAUGUUGGUGAUCUCUGCACACGCUGGCUCCAUUUUGCCUUCCAUCAUGAGUAGAAGCAGCCCAAGGCCUUCACCACAUUUCCUAUCUUGAACCUUCCAGCAAGAAGAAUCAUGAACCAAAUAAACUGCUUUUCUUUAUAAACUAUUCAGCUUCAUGUAUUCCUUUACAGCAACACUAAAUGGACUAAGACAAAUUGAUAAAGAAAAUGUGAUAUCUAUACAUCUCUCUGUCUAUAAAGAUAAGAUACCAAUUACAAUGGAACAUUGUUCAGCCAUAAAAAGAAGAAAAUUCUGGAAUUUCAGAUGUCAUGGAUGAAUCUGGAGGAAAUUAUGCAAAGAAAAAUAAGCUAGACACAG
rnacentral:lncRNA from 1 species